CCAACAUGUGACGGGGGAGGGCCCGGCCGCCGAUUCGCGCAGCCGUAGUAGCCACUUUCCCGGCGGCGGAGCGCAUGCGUGGGGGAGGCCUAAAGGUUCCCCAGCACACCUGAGGGAUAUGACACAGUCCCAUAAGAACAGUGGCUCCCUAUGGCAGUGAUUCUCAACCAAGGGGUCAUUUCCAGAUCUUCAAAUGAGGUUCUAACAGGAUCUUCCCCCUCUACAGUUCUUCAAGAAGAGAUGGGAUUGCUACCACCCUUCCCCAGAAAAUAACGAAAGGAAACCGCGGCCAAGGCCCAGCCGAACCCAGGAAACCGUGCCCCACCCAGGCCCAGUCCCUGCCCACACCCUUUAACCGGCUCCAGCCACUCCCGGGACCGAGGUCGAGGGCUCAAACCGGCAGCGGGACUAC